rnacentral:rRNA from 1 species
CAGCCGCGGUAAUUCCAGCUCCAAUAGCGUAUAUUAAAGUUGUUGCGGUAAAAAAGCUCGUAGUUGGAUUUCUGUUGAGGACGACCGGUCCGUACCAUGUACGCGCAUCUGGUUCGGCCUCGGCAUCCUCUCGAUAGACGUUUCUGCGCUUGAUUGCGUGGAGCGGAUUUCGGGACUUUUACUUUGAGGAAAUUAGAGUGUUCACGGCAGGCUAUCGCCAGAAUACAUUAGCAUGGAAUAAUACUAUAGGAUCUCGGUUCUAUUUUGUUGGUUUCUAGACCCGGGGUAAUGAUUAAUAGGGACAAUUGGGGGCAUUUGUAUCAACACGUCAGAGGUGGAAUUCUUGGAUUGUGUUGCGACAAACUACUGCGAAAGCAUUUGCCAAGGAUGUUUUCAUUGAUCAAGAACGAAAGUAAGGGGAUCGAAGACGAUUAGAUACCGUCGUAGUCUUUACCAUAAACUAUGCCGACUAGAGAUGGGGCAUCGUUCACUUACGACUUGCUCCGCAUCUUAUGAGAUAUCAAAGUCUUUGGGUUCCGGGGGGAGUAUGGUCGCAAGUCUGAAACUUAAAGGAAUUGACGGAAGGGCACCACCAGGAGUGGAGCCUGCGGCUUAAUUUGACUCAACACGGGGAAACUCACCAGGUCCAGACAUAAUAAGGAUUGACAGAUUGAUAGCUCUUUCUUGAUUUUAUGGGUGGUGGUGCAUGGCCGUUCUUAGUUCGUGGAGUGAUUUGUCUGCUUAAUUGCGUUAACGAACGAGACCUUAACCUGCUAAAUAGGAGCGCAUAUCUCCGGAUAAGCGCCUUUCUUCUUAGAGGGACUGCAUGGCGUUCUCAGUAUGCGGAAGUUUGAGGCUAAAACAGGUCUGUGAUG